rnacentral:rRNA from 1 species
UACAGAGGGUGCAAGCGUUAAUCGGAUUUACUGGGCGUAAAGCGUGUGUAGGUGGCUCGCUAAGUCGGUUGUGAAAUCCCUGGGCUCAACCUGGGAAUUCAGUCGAUACUGAUGAGCUCGAGUUCGGUAGAGGGUGACGGAAUUCCCGGUGUAGCGGUGAAAUGCGUAGAUAUCGGGAGGAACAUCGAUGGCGAAGGCAAUCACCUGGGCCUGAACUGACACUGUGACACGAAAGCGUGGGUAGCAAACAGG